AGUGAACGCUGGCGGUAGGCCUAACACAUGCAAGUCGAACGGCAGCACAGGAAGAGCUUGCUCUUACGGGUGGCGAGUGGCGGACGGGUGAGGAAUACAUCGGAAUCUACUUUUUCGUGGGGGAUAACGUAGGGAAACUUACGCUAAUACCGCAUACGACCUACGGGUGAAAGCAGGGGAUCUUCGGACCUUGCGCGAUUGAAUGAGCCGAUGUCGGAUUAGCUAGUUGGCGGGGUAAAGGCCCACCAAGGCGACGAUCCGUAGCUGGUCUGAGAGGAUGAUCAGCCACACUGGAACUGAGACACGGUCCAGACUCCUACGGGAGGCAGCAGUGGGGAAUAUUGGACAAUGGGCGCAAGCCUGAUCCAGCCAUACCGCGUGGGUGAAGAAGGCCUUCGGGUUGUAAAGCCCUUUUGUUGGGAAAGAAAAGCAGCAGGUUAAUACCCCGCUGUUCUGACGGUACCCAAAGAAUAAGCACCGGCUAACUUCGUG
rnacentral:rRNA from 1 species